AAUCACAAGGUAUCUGUUUAAAGAAGCCGAGAGAUUGCAUUUGGUUGCUGAAGAAUAAGGAAAAAAUCCUUUAGGUAUCUUAAAAAGUCGUCUUAGGUUCUAGUAGUAUAAGAUUAUUGGAGAAGAGGAGGAGGAGGAGGAGGUGGUGGAAGAAUAAUAAUAAUUGUGACGAGAGAAACAGUACAUCAUUGUAGACAGGGAUGGGUAUAAAGAGGGAUUUUAUAAUGAUCAGCACACAGUUGUGAUCAUAAGCGUAUUUCAGUGGUCACAAAGACACUAAAAAGUCACACAUUCAUUAAUGUUGAUCAAUGUGAUCAUUUACUACAAUAAGGCGAGGAAGCAAUAGGCGGCGCAUGAUUUUUUUUGUUUUUUUGUUUUUGUUUUUUGUUUUUGAGGAAACAAA